rnacentral:rRNA from 1 species
GAUGAACGCUGGCGGCGUGCCUAAUACAUGCAAGUCGAGCGAACGGACGAGAAGCUUGCUUCUCUGAUGUUAGCGGCGGACGGGUGAGUAACACGUGGAUAACCUACCUAUAAGACUGGGAUAACUUCGGGAAACCGGAUCUAAUACCGGAUGAUAUUUUGAACCGCAUGGUUCAAAAGUGAAAGACGGUCCUGCUGUCACUUAUAGAUGGAUCCGCGCUGCAUUAGCUAGUUGGUAAGGUAACGGCUUACCAAGGCAACGAUGCAUAGCCGACCUGAGAGGGUGAUCGGCCACACUGGAACUGAGACACGGUCCAGACUCCUACGGGAGGCAGCAGUAGGGAAUCUUCCGCAAUGGGCGAAAGCCUGACGGAGCAACGCCGCGUGAGUGAUGAAGGUCUUCGGAUCGUAAAACUCUGUUAUUAGGGAAGAACAUAUGUGUAAGUAACUGUGCACAUCUUGACGGUACCUAAUCAGAAAGCCACGGCUAACUACGUG